CUGCGUUAGCGGUAGAAACGGCAUCCUUUUUAUUGGAUAAGGUCGCCAAGCUGACCUUAUUCCAUAAAAAGAUAUAGUGGAUGACGCGACCCUUG
rnacentral:sRNA from 1 species